CAAAGCAUUUAUCACACAAAUUUCAGUGUUGUGGCAAAGCUUUCUGUCCACGUAUCUUUCCUGGCCUCGAGGAUCAGCCCAAGUAUCUGUUCCCUCUGCACACAGAGCAAGGACUUAGGGGAUAUUUGAUAGAUGAGUAAUGGCUACUAUUUGGGGGAUGCCUAUUUAGUGUGUCAUGCCCUUGCAUUUAUCUCAUUCCAUCCUUACCUAGACUGCAUAAGAUAGUGAGCUAGGACAGACCCUCACACAUGGUAGAUGCUCAGUAGGUGUUGGUCCAGAUAAUUUGACAAAGGAAGAGAUUGUCUCUUCUAAUCUUUCUAGCAG
rnacentral:lncRNA from 1 species